AGACAGCGCGGGGGGCGGUCCGGAGGGGGCAGGGCCUGCCUGGGGAAGCUGGGAAUCUCAACUGCCCCCCACACGGAAGUUUCAACCGCUGCUGCCACCUCAGGAACCAGGGCUCCUUGGAGAAAUGGCUGAUUCCUUAUUAAGGCAUCCAUCUCCCCUCCAGCCCUGCGGUUGCAGCCACCCAGUCACCUGAGAGCAUACAGGACUGUGCCAUUGGAGAAGAGGCGGAUGAGCCUGUUGCCCACAGUGACUUCAUGGAGGAAGGACUUCUUGGACUCCACAAUGUAAGUGUCCGGCACCCAGAGGAACUCCACAAGGCGCGCAUCCAGAGUGAAGCUCUUGUUGCCUUCAAAUACCAGCCUCUGGUCCGUCCAGCGCUGUCUGAGCUCCCUCAGCUCCAGUGCAUGCACUUUUGGACUUUAUGUGCUUAACAGACAGGAAGUAAAAGAAAUGGCAAGUGGUGAAAGUUUCUUUCUCAGCCAUGUCUCUGCAGUGGAGGCAAAACCAUGCAGCGGGUCUGCCUCGAUGUGCCCGUGUCAGCUUCACCAGGAGUACCUAUUAAAGAUGCACAUUCCUGGGG